rnacentral:rRNA from 1 species
AUUUGGAAAGCUGACAAAACAACAAU